rnacentral:rRNA from 1 species
CCUACGGGAGGCAGCAGUGGGGAAUUUUGGACAAUGGGGGCAACCCUGAUCCAGCCAUGCCGCGUGCGGGAAGAAGGCCUUCGGGUUGUAAACCGCUUUUAGUCGGGAAGAAAAGGCACGUCUUAAUACGGCGUGUUCUUGACGGUACCGGCGGAAUAAGCACCGGCUAACUACGUGCCAGCAGCCGCGGUAAUACGUAGGGUGCGAGCGUUAAUCGGAAUUACUGGGCGUAAAGCGUGCGCAGGCGGUCCGCCGUGUCCUGUGUGAAAGCCCCGGGCUCAACCUGGGAAUGGCAUGGGAAACUGGCGGGCUGGAGUGUGGCAGAGGGGGGUGGAAUUCCGCGUGUAGCAGUGAAAUGCGUAGAGAUGCGGAGAAACACCGAUGGCGAAGGCAGCCCCCUGGGCCAACACUGACGCUCAGGCACGAAAGCGUGGGGAGCAAACAGGAUUAGAUACCCUGGUAGUCCACGCCCUAAACGAUGUCGACUAGGUGUUGGGGAAGCGAUUCCUUGGUACCGAAGCUAACGCGUGAAGUCGACCGCCUGGGGAGUACGGCCGCAAGGUUAAAACUCAAAGGAAUUGACGG